AGGAUAAAAGGUACUCCGGGGAUAACAGGCUGAUCUUACCCAAGAGCUCAUAUCGACGGUAAGGUUUGGCACCUCGAUGUCGGUUCGUCACAUCCUGGGGCUGGAGAAGGUCCCAAGGGGUCGGCUGUUCGCCGAUUAAAGUGGCACGUGAACUGGGUUCAGAACGUCGCAAGACAGUUCGGUCCCUAUCUGUGGUGGGCGUUAGUAAAUUGAGAGGACAUGACCUUAGUACGAGAGGACCGGGUCGUACGUACCGCUGGUGUAUCAGUUGUGCCGCCAGGUGCAAUGCUGAGUAGCUAAGUACGGACAGGAUAAACGCUGAAAGCAUCUAAGCGUGAAACCAACCUCAAGAUGAGUUUACUUUUAAGGGCCGUAAGAGACUAUUACGUUGAUAGGCUACAGGUGUAAAGGUGGUAACAUCAAAGCCGAGUAGUACUAAUUGCCCGUAUGCUUUAAUUUU
rnacentral:rRNA from 1 species